UAAGGAAUAUUGGUCAAUGGACGCAAGUCUGAACCAGCCAUGCCGCGUGAAGGAUGAAGGUCUUCCGGAUUGUAAACUUCUUUUAUCUGGGACGAAAACGGGAUUUUAUCUCAAUUGACGGUACCAGAGGAAUAAGCACCGGCUAACUCCGUGCCAGCAGCCGCGGUAAUACGGAGGGUGCGAGCGUUAUCCGGAUUUACUGGGUUUAAAGGGUGCGUAGGUGGGCUUAUAAGUCAGUGGUGAAAUCUCCGAGCUUAACUUGGAAACUGCCGUUGAUACUAUAGGUCUUGAAUUAUCUGGAGGUAAGCGGAAUAUGUCAUGUAGCGGUGAAAUGCUUAGAUAUGACAUAGAACACCAAUUGCGAAGGCAGCUUACUACAUAUAAAUUGACGCUGAGGCACGAAAGCGUGGGGAUCAAACA
rnacentral:rRNA from 1 species